CCUACGGGUGGCUGCAGUGAGGAAUAUUGGUCAAUGGGCGCGAGCCUGAACCAGCCAAGUAGCGUGAAGGAUGACUGCCCUACGGGUUGUAAACUUCUUUUAUAAAGGAAUAAAGUGAGGCACGUGUGCCUUUUUGUAUGUACUUUAUGAUUAAGGCUCGACUAACUCCGGGCCAGCAGCCGCGGUAAUACGGAGGAUCCGAGCGUUAUCCGGAUUUAUUGGGUUUAAAGGGAGCGUAGAUGGGUUGGUAAGUCAGUUGUGAAAUUUUGCGGCUUAACCGUAAAAUUGCAAUUGAUACUGGCAGCCUUGAGUACAGUAGAGGUAGGCGGAAUUCGGUGUGUAGCGGUGAAAUGCUUAGAUAUCACGAAGAACUCCGAUUGCGAAGGCAGCCUACUAAACUGCCACUGACAUUGAUGCUCGAAAGUGUGGGUAUCAAACAGGAUUAGAUACCCCUGUAGUC
rnacentral:rRNA from 1 species